UACCAGCACCCCGAGUGGUCGGGACGUUUAUUGGGCCUAAAGCAUCCGUAGCCGGUUCUACAAGUCUUCCGUUAAAUCCAGCUGCUUAACAGGUGGGCUGCGGAAGAUACUAUGGAGCUAGGAGGCGGGAGAGGCAAGCGGUACUCGAUGGGUAGGGGUAAAAUCCGUUGAUCCAUUGAAGACCACCAGUGGCGAAGGCGGCUUGCCAGAACGCGCUCGACGGUGAG
rnacentral:rRNA from 1 species